rnacentral:rRNA from 1 species
UACGGAGGGGCUAGCGUUGUUCGGAAUUACUGGGCGUAAAGCGCACGUAGGCGGCUUUGUAAGUUAGAGGUGAAAGUCCAGGGCUUAACCCUGGAAUUGCCUUUAAGACUGCAUCGCUAGAAUCGUGGAGAGGUGAGUGGAAUUCCGAGUGUAGAGGUGAAAUUCGUAGAUAUUCGGAAGAACACCAGUGGCGAAGGCGACUCACUGGACACGUAUUGACGCUGAGGUGCGAAAGCGUGGGGAGCAAACAGGG